rnacentral:rRNA from 1 species
UACGAAGGGGGCUAGCGUUGCUCGGAAUCACUGGGCGUAAAGGGUGCGUAGGCGGGUCUUUAAGUCAGGGGUGAAAUCCUGGAGCUCAACUCCAGAACUGCCUUUGAUACUGAAGAUCUUGAGUUCGGGAGAGGUGAGUGGAACUGCGAGUGUAGAGGUGAAAUUCGUAGAUAUUCGCAAGAACACCAGUGGCGAAGGCGGCAUCCUGGACCGGCAUUGACGCUGAGGCGCGAAAGCUAGGGGAGAAAACGGG